ACAAUUUAAGCCAUGCCUCAUGCCUUUAGUGGAUAAGGGAUGAGUUGGUGUCUAUUUGAAUUCAAAAUUUGAUUUGAAUUCAAAUGUGCAAUUACUCAUCUUUAUCUUUUCUUUUGGAUAAGACGUUUAACGUUGUUAUAAAAGGAGGAGAAGAGUGGGGCGUGCAAAAGAAAGAUUUUUGAAGAAAAAUUUUGGAGCGUGAGAAGUCUUGUGCAUGAGAAGGAAGUCCAUAUCCUUCCAAGAGAAAAAGAAAGAAAAGAAAGAAAAGUGGGUGCAAGGUUUUCGAUGAGUUCCCUAGAGUUUUAGCCU
rnacentral:lncRNA from 1 species